GGAGAUAGCUGGUUCUCCCCGAAAUAGCUUUAGGGCUAGCCUCAAGGUGAGAGAUACGGAGGUAGAGCACUGAAUGUCCUAGGGGGUAUUGCACCUACCGAAGACUAUCAAACUCCGAAUGCCGUCAUCUUAUACUUGGGAGUCAGACUGUGGGUGAUAAGAUUCAUAGUCGAAAGGGCAACAGCCCAGAUCGUCAGCUAAGGUCCCUAAAUGUAAGUUAAGUGGUAAAGGAUGUGGGAUUGCACAGACAACCAGGAUGUUGGCUUAGAAGCAGCCACUCAUUCAAAGAGUGCGUAAUAGCUCACUGGUCGAGUGAUCCUGCGCCGAAGAUUUCCGGGGCUAAAACUUACUACCGAAGCUAC
rnacentral:rRNA from 1 species